GGGUUGUGAGGUUAAGCGACUAAGCGUACACGGUGGAUGCCCUGGCAGUCAGAGGCGAUGAAGGACGUGCUAAUCUGCGAUAAGCGUCGGUAAGGUGAUAUGAACCGUUAUAACCGGCGAUUUCCGAAUGGGGAAACCCAGUGUGAUUCGUCACACUAUCAUUAACUGAAUCCAUAGGUUAAUGAGGCGAACCGGGGGAACUGAAACAUCUAAGUACCCCGAGGAAAAGAAAUCAACCGAGAUUCCCCCAGUAGCGGCGAGCGAACGGGGAGGAGCCCAGAGCCUGAAUCAGUGUGUGUGUUAGUGGAAGCGUCUGGAAAGGCGCGCGAUACAGGGUGACAGCCCCGUACACAAAAAUGCACAUGCUGUGAGCUCGAUGAGUAGGGCGGGACACGUGGUAUCCUGUCUGAAUAUGGGGGGACCAUCCUCCAAGGCUAAAUACUCCUGACUGACCGAUAGUGAACCAGUACCGUGAGGGAAAGGCGAAAAGAACCCCGGCGAGGGGAGUGAAAAAGAACCUGAAACCGUGUACGUACAAGCAGUGGGAGCACAGAGCAAUCUGUGUGACUGCGUACCUUUUGUAUAAUGGGUCAGCGACUUAUAUUCUGUAGCAAGGUUAACCGAAUAGGGGAGCCGAAGGGAAACCGAGUCUUAACUGGGCGUUAAGUUGCAGGGUAUAGACCCGAAACCCGGUGAUCUAGCCAUGGGCAGGUUGAAGGUUGGGUAACACUAACUGGAGGACCGAACCGACUAAUGUUGAAAAAUUAGCGGAUGACUUGUGGCUGGGGGUGAAAGGCCAAUCAAACCGGGAGAUAGCUGGUUCUCCCCGAAAGCUAUUUAGGUAGCGCCUCGUGAAUUCAUCUCCGGGGGUAGAGCACUGUUUCGGCAAGGGGGUCAUCCCGACUUACCAACCCGAUGCAAACUGCGAAUACCGGAGAAUGUUAUCACGGGAGACACACGGCGGGUGCUAACGUCCGUCGUGAAGAGGGAAACAACCCAGACCGCCAGCUAAGGUCCCAAAGUCAUGGUUAAGUGGGAAACGAUGUGGGAAGGCCCAGACAGCCAGGAUGUUGGCUUAGAAGCAGCCAUCAUUUAAAGAAAGCGUAAUAGCUCACUGGUCGAGUCGGCCUGCGCGGAAGAUGUAACGGGGCUAAACCAUGCACCGAAGCUGCGGCAGCGACGCUUAUGCGUUGUUGGGUAGGGGAGCGUUCUGUAAGCCUGCGAAGGUGUGCUGUGAGGCAUGCUGGAGGUAUCAGAAGUGCGAAUGCUGACAUAAGUAACGAUAAAGCGGGUGAAAAGCCCGCUCGCCGGAAGACCAAGGGUUCCUGUCCAACGUUAAUCGGGGCAGGGUGAGUCGACCCCUAAGGCGAGGCCGAAAGGCGUAGUCGAUGGGAAACAGGUUAAUAUUCCUGUACUUGGUGUUACUGCGAAGGGGGGACGGAGAAGGCUAUGUUGGCCGGGCGACGGUUGUCCCGGUUUAAGCGUGUAGGCUGGU
rnacentral:rRNA from 1 species